UCCUACGGGAGGCAGCAGUAAGGAAUAUUGGUCAAUGGGCGCAAGCCUGAACCAGCCAUGCCGCGUGCAGGAAGACGGCCCUAUGGGUUGUAAACUGCUUUUGUCAGGGAAUAAACCCCCGCUCGUGAGCGGGGCUGAAGGUACCUGAAGAAUAAGCAUCGGCUAACUCCGUGCCAGCAGCCGCGGUAAUACGGAGGAUGCAAGCGUUAUCCGGAUUCAUUGGGUUUAAAGGGUGCGCAGGCGGAUUGGUAAGUCAGGGGUGAAAUCCCACAGCUCAACUGUGGAACUGCCUUUGAUACUGUCAGUCUAGAGUAUAGUUGAAGUUGGCGGAAUGUGUCAUGUAGCGGUGAAAUGCUUAGAUAUGACACAGAACACCGAUCGCGAAGGCAGCUAGCUAAGCUAUAACUGACGCUCAUGCACGAAAGCGUGGGGAUCAAACAGGAUUAGAUACCCUGGUAGUCCACGCUGUAAACGAUGAUUACUCGAUGUUGGCGAUACACAGUCAGCGUCUGAGCGAAAGCAAUAAGUAAUCCACCUGGGGAGUACGAUCGCAAGAUUGAAACUCAAAGGA
rnacentral:rRNA from 2 species